CCUACGGGUGGCAGCAGUGAGGAAUAUUGGUCAAUGGACGCGAGUCUGAACCAGCCAUGCCGCGUGCAGGAAGACGGCUCUAUGAGUUGUAAACUGCUUUUGUACGGGGGUAAACGCAGAUACGCGUGUCUGUCUGAAAGUAUCGUACGAAUAAGGAUCGGCUAACUCCGUGCCAGCAGCCGCGGUAAUACGGAGGAUUCAAGCGUUAUCCGGAUUUAUUUGGUUUAAAGGGUGCGUAGGCGGUCGGAUAAGUUAGAGGUGAAAUCUAGAGGCUCAACCUCGGAAUUGCCGUUGAUACUGUUCGUCUAGAGAGUAGUAGAGGUAGGCGGAAUGUAUGGUGUAGCGGUGAAAUGCUUAGAGAUCAUACAGAACACCGAUUGCGAAGGCAGCUUACCGGGCUACUUCUGACGUUGAGGCACGAAAGCGUGGGGAGCAAACAGGAUUAGAUACCCCAGUAGUC
rnacentral:rRNA from 1 species